CUCUGGAGAUGAUGACCUGGAAUGCAAAGCCUCCUUCUUUGUGUGGUCUUGUGCCUAUACAUGCUGCACAAGCCUAAUGCUAGUCCUGCUAGAGGAGGCACGCCACUUCUUUCCCAGGGAUUUUUAUUACCUCUGUGCAGUAAAUGUUGACAAACAUUUACAUUUUUGAAAAAUUAUGAGCACUGUGUUUGUGAACUUGGAGACAUCGCUGUUCCCAACAACUGGUCAUUAAUCAAAGCUGUGGUGAAGAAAUUCAGACUCAGUGGAGGAAUGAAGUCAUUAGAGAUGGACUCAAACCAGAGUGUGACACAUUCCUCAGAGGUGGAGAGAUGCUUCUUCCACUCCACCGAGGACACCUGAGGGAAACAUCAGAGCCUGGACAUUGAAACAUUUCAGAAGGCAAGGUUCAUGUCUCUGACUUCAGUCAAAACUGAGCGUGAGUGCUCAUUAAAUAUUAAAUAAUAGUACAGUUCAGAUCUGAAUCCAAACUUCUCAUCUUGCACCAUUCCAGCUAAGCUGGUUAUGAACGGGAACAUGGCUCGGAAACCCCUUUGAACUUUGGAGGAAUUUUGGUUCUGGAUCUAAAAGCUGAGUUCAGUAGUGUGUAGCAAAAGGGAAGCAUGAAAGGAAAUAAUUCAGGAUUAUUUUUGUAACAUAUUCAAGUAAACAACAGAGGAAAAAAAGUCAAGUCAUCUGUGACUUGUAUUCCA